AGCACGGAUUUCUCUUUGCAUGCGAGUUUCUGUUGCGAUUUUCAUCUCUAUUCCUUCAGGACAAUUGUUUCUGAGGUCGACAUCUACAACAUAUCCAAAUUCCAAGGCAAACGGAGAUUUCUAUCUACCUUAAAUCGUGUUCAAGGUACUCGGGUAUCAGCUGAUCCACAGGAGGGACCCUCAAAGGGUCAGAGCAGCUCGAACGCACAGUGAGUGGACUUUUGUUUUAUAAAUGGAUUUUAUGUUAUUAAAGUUUCAAUAUUUGAUCUUGAAGGAUUUAUCUAUGGCUAUUACUUUCUGAGCAGGAAUAAUGAAAUUAUAUAUAUAUGUUCUCGAUUAUAUGUUAUUAUAUUUAAAUGCAAAUGGCUUGGAAAGUAAGAAAUGAGGUAUUAACCAUAUUGAAUGAUUGGUUGAGGAAUAAAAUGGAAAUUUCCAGGAAGGGCAUGUAUUUUGUUUUUAAACCACUAUAGGUACCCAAAAAUGUUGCAUUCGGAUAAAUUGUUGCCUUCGAUUAUAAUGAUGUCCAAGGACAUCCCAGUUGCCUUUGGAUGAGUCAGUGUGUGUUUGACAAUUGCCCACAAGUUCGGGGACGCUCAAACAUUGUGGUGCUAGGAAUGUGGCUCGGGUGGACCAAGUGUCCUCUGAGUCUUGCGAGGAAUGCGGCUCGAGUAACUUUAUGCUACCGAGACCUACGAGGACGUGCCACAAAUUGUGACACGAGGAAUUGACGGAAAUUAUGGAAUUGACGGAUUUAUGAUGGGUUCACCUAGGUGGAAGGAAAUUGUUUCCCUUUAUUAAUCUAAGAUAUUUUGUUAAUGUUUCACUGAAUAUAUGCUCAGCUAUAUAUAUGAGGAUUUGCAUGCCUGAAUUUUAUACGGAUAUUGAACAUGGAUAUGAUUAAAUUUUCUAAAUGUUUUAACAGAGGGGUUAGUAUGUUGAUACCCUAUGUUCUAAAACUUUAUUUUUGUCCAUUCACGUUUUUCAAUGUUUUGCGCCCCCAGACAGUAGUCGUGUACGGGGACGUCACCACAGGGCCGUCACUUUCCUCUAUCCAUCUCCUCCGCUACGUAGGAGU